rnacentral:rRNA from 1 species
AGAGUUUGAUCAUGGCUCAGAACGAACGCUGGCGGCAGGCUUAACACAUGCAAGUCGAGCGAAGCUUUCGGGCUUAGCGGCGGACGGGUGAGUAACGCGUGGGAACGUGCCCUUUGGUACGGAAUAGUCCUGGGAAACUGGGUUUAAUACCGUAUAUUCUCUACGGAGGAAAGAUUUAUCGCCAAAGGACCGGCCCGCGUUGGAUUAGGUAGUUGGUGGGGNAAUGGCCUACCAAGCCGACGAUCCAUAGCUGGUUUGAGAGGAUGAUCAGCCACACUGGGACUGANNNNNNNNCCAGACUCCUACGGGACGCAGCAG